rnacentral:tRNA from 1 species
GCCUGGGUGGCUCAGUCGGUUGAGCGUCCGACUUCAGCUCAGGUCACGAUCUCGCGGUCCGUGGGUUCGAGCCCCACAUCAGGCU